GACGAGUGGCGAACGGGUGAGUAAUGCAUCGGAACGUGCCCAGUAGUGGGGGAUAGCUCGGCGAAAGCCGGAUUAAUACCGCAUACGACCUACGGGUGAAAGGGGGGGAUCGAAAGACCUCUCGCUAUUGGAGCGGCCGAUGUCAGAUUAGGUAGUUGGUGGGGUAAAGGCCUACCAAGCCGACGAUCUGUAGCUGGUCUGAGAGGACGACCAGCCACACUGGGACUGAGACACGGCCCAGACUCC
rnacentral:rRNA from 1 species